UCAGAGGCAGGGGUUCAGCUGGGAAGAGAGAGCCGAGACAUUACCAGCCAGGCCCAGGAGCAGCAGGCUCACCCACUCAUCCUGCUGCUUGUAAACCCCCAGAGAACACUGAGCAGGAGCACUGCACACCUGGCACGAGGUGCACACUCACCCUGCUCUAUCUAAACCCCAGGGACACUGAGCAGGAGCACUGCACACCUGGCACAAGGUGCACACUCACCCUGCUGCUUGUAAACCCCAGGGCACACUGCACACCUGGCACGAGGUGCACACUCACCCUGCUGUAUCUAAACCCCAGGGACACUGAGCAGGAGCACUGCACACCUGGCACAAGGUGCACACUCACCCUGCUGCUUCUAAACCCCAGGGCACACUGCACACCUGGCACAAGGUGCACACUCACCCUGCUGCUUCUAAACCCCAGGGCACACUGCACACCUGGCACGAGGUGCACACUCACCCUGCUGUAUCUAAACCCCAGGGCACACUGCACACCUGGCACGAGGUGCACACUCACCCUGCUGCUUGUAAACCCCAGGAACUCUGAGCAGGAGCACUGAACCCCUGGCAGGUGUGCAGCACCUCAGCCAUUCACAGCUCCAGCUCACCAAGCACUCCAGCAGGGCACAAGGUGUCUGCAGGCUACUCCAGCCACAGUGUGAAUGGAACAGCCCUACAACAGCAGCUGAAGUUCCUCCUCUGCAAUUCCAGUCAUGAACACAACUUCAUGCCUCUUACUGCAGUGCCCAGAAACUUCAGUAAGAGUCACUGAAGGAAAAGGCUACAGCAGGCAGAGCCUCAGGGGGUCUGGGUACCCAGAAAGCAGCAUGAUUUAUCUCACACAGGAGGGGAACAGCUGACAGCCCCUCCAUCUCUGCUGCAGAGAUCCCAAGGAAAACAGAGCCAUCUGUCAAAGCUUCACGUUCCUGCUCGCACCGUGGCACUUCCCAGCAGAGCAGUCCCUCCUGUGUCACACACCCAGGAAGGAUACAAGCCUUUGGCUACCUUUUUCUGCAUCCUGUACUUAAACCCCUGAACAAGAUAUUACAAGUUUUUCAGGAAUGGCACAGGGGCCCUUGGCUGCUGAGGAGUCACUCACAGCACAGAGGGGACUGAGGUCAAAGCCAGACUAAAACAUCCCAGAGGAAAACUGCCAUGAGCUCCUCACUGCUGAGCCUGUCAGAGCUCACCCUGACACUGCUCAGGCCUGAGGGGCUUUUCCUGCCCCCAGCCAGGGCUGACACAUCCCAAAGCAGAUAACUGCCAUCCUUCUAUGGCCUGAGGGCUCUGCUGCACCACUAGGGAGCUUCCUUUGCUCACAGACACCUGGAGGCACCCACAGGUGAGCCUGGCUCAGAAGCUGCAGUUUCCAGUAGCUUUGGUAGAUGCCUCCAGCUCCACAGCACAUGAACCUGACUUGCCAAGCCCAGCACUCCCCACUGCUGUCCUGUGUCCCCUGCUCUGUGCCACCAGGCUGCACCCAGCCCUGCCCUGUCUGCUGCUCAGCCAGCCCAGGCUCCCUGCUGCCCCUCCACAG